AAACAAAGAAAGAAGCGGGAGAAUAAAAAAUUCACAACUUGGUUGGACAUACCAAGUGAGCAAGGUGAUUUGCUCACAAACAACAAGAGCCACCAAAAGAUGACUCGUAUAGCAUGCUAUGAGACCUUGAAUGGGGAGCAACACUAAAGCAAUGAGAAUGAAACUCAUUACUAACCUAAAUUGAUAGUUAACAAUAGUUAACCUCAAUGACCAACUACCAACCAAGACACAUGAAUACCAAACCUUUCUUCUACACAUAUACUCAUCCCCUCGUCCUAAAGCCUGAAAUACCCUUAGAGCCAAGACCACCAACAAAGGAUAACGAGUCCUCUUUGAUGACAACCGAGGCAUCUUCUCUUCCAAAAUCUAAAAACCACUCUUUGUAGGAGGAAGAGACACGAGUUUUAAUCACCUCCCUACUCCUAUAAUCUAAAACCAGUCCGUUGGCUUCCUUAAUCCUCAAAUUUGGACAUAACCACAUAGCAAGUCCAAAUGAAUUCCACACUUUUGAAAACCACAAAUUAAAAUCAAAACUGUUUCCGAGGCUAUAAAUACCUCUCUGUUUCUACCGCUCCAGAGGGAUAAAAAAUCAUUAAUCUAUCGAGACUGUAAAUUUUGAACAUUUUUAUAUUUGUACGAACCUGGUUCGGAUAAGUGUCCUUUAGCAAAAGGUCUUGCAUGUAGAGGGUGGCGUAGCGGCUGUCCGACAUGCAUUACAAAAACAUAUCAGAGGGUAAUAUUGUCAUUUCAUUCGCAUUUUGAAAAUGCUGAUGUGGUAAGUUGGAUCCAUGAAGGAGUUGUUUGUGGGAAACACAUGUUCCAGCGUGGCAUAAACUCUCACCUUCCUUCCUUGUGUUCUCCGCCGUUCUCUCUCCUCCCUCUCAUCCCCUAUUUUUCUGGUGAAAAUUUGUCGUUGUUCUUGCUCGAUUUCGAUUCGUUUUUGGAUGUUUUACUUGGAUCUUGCUUAAUUGAGCAUCUAUUUCUCUCGAACUCAUCGCAAAAAUAUUAUUCCGUCCAGUUUUACAAGAUAAGGUGAAUUGGAGAAGAAGAAGAACAGGUGAAUUGGGGACGAAGAAGACGAUUUGGGGGAAAGGAGGCAGAUUUUCGGAAGCGAAUUUUAUUGUGGUUUAAAUUUGUUUGUUUUUGUUCAUCAAUAGGUUAGAAUUGAUGCAGAUAAGGUGAAUUGGGGAAGAAGAAGAACAAGUGAAUUGGGGAAGAAGAAGACGAUUUGGGGGAAAGGAGGCAGAUUUUGUUUUGGGGUGAAGCUACCUUCUUUCCACGUCACAUGGUCCAACUUGGCAGAAAUGUCAUUUGUCUUUCACUAUUCAAUUUCAUUUUCCCCCCAAAAUCACUUUAUUUUUUAAUUUAUCUUUUCUUUUGGGUCUGAUAUGCGUUGGGUUACACAUAUCUGAUAUGUGUAAAUACUUCCUCCUUGCAUGUACGAGGUGUACUAUAAAUUUAUUGCAUAUCGGAUAAUUUUUACGCACAAUUCGGUAACUUUUAACAUGUUUUGAUGAAUUUUUAUAUUAUAAAUUUCUUUUAAUGGA